UACGUAGGGGGCAAGCGUUGUCCGGAUUUAUUGGGCGUAAAGAGCUCGUAGGCGGUUCCGUAAGUCGUGAAGUCAAAUCUCUGGGCUCAACCCAGAAUCGCUUCCGAUACUGCGGUGACUGGAGUCCGGGAGAGGUGAGUGGAAUUCCUAGUGUAGAGGUGAAAUGCGCAGAUAUCGGGAGGAACACCAGUAGCGAAGGCGGCACUCUGGGCCGGUACUGACGCUGAGGAGCGAAAGCGUGGGGAGCAAACAGG
rnacentral:rRNA from 1 species